UCCUACAAUAGACCAGAAACGUUGCAAGAAAGCCGGGUUCAUCCCAUCUGGCCCCGAGGAUUUAUCGGGAUGCAUGCUGAAGACAGCCUCCCUCACUUCCGUAUCAUCAAUGGGUGCCAUCAGAGAAGAAUUCUGCUCAGUCAUUACCAACAAAUGGAUGCUAUCUAGAAUUUCUUUAGCCACACACCCUUUGGAUGAAAAAAGUUUCUG
rnacentral:lncRNA from 1 species